GACGAACGCUGGCGGCGUGCUUAACACAUGCAAGUCGAACGGAAAGGCUCCAGCUUGCUGGAGUACUCGAGUGGCGAACGGGUGAGUAACACGUGGGUAAUCUGCCCUGCACUCUGGGAUAAGCCCGGGAAACUGGGUCUAAUACUGGAUAUGACCUUUCUCCUUAUGGGGUUUGGUGGAAAGUUUUUCGGUGUAGGAUGAGCCCGCGGCCUAUCAGCUUGUUGGUGGGGUGAUGGCCUACCAAGGCGACGACGGGUAGCCGGCCUGAGAGGGUGAUCGGCCACAUUGGGACUGAGAUACGGCCCAGACUCCUACGGGAGGCAGCAGUGGGGAAUAUUGCACAAUGGGCGGAAGCCUGAUGCAGCGACGCCGCGUGAGGGAGGACGGCCUUCGGGUUGUAAACCUCUUUCAGCAGGGACGAAGCGUAAGUGACGGUACCUGCAGAAGAAGCACCGGCUAACUACGU
rnacentral:rRNA from 1 species